rnacentral:rRNA from 1 species
UCUUCCCUCUUUCUCCAGGCUUAACACAUGCAAGUCGAGGGGAAACGACGGGGAAGCUUGCUUCCCCGGGCGUCGACCGGCGCACGGGUGAGUAACGCGUAUCCAACCUGCCUCUGACUGAGGGAUAACCCGUCGAAAGUCGGCCUAAUACCUCAUGGCAUCGUCUGCGGGCAUCCAACGACGAUUAAAGAUUUCAUCGGUCAGGGGUGGGGAUGCGUCUGAUUAGCUUGUUGGCGGGGUAACGGCCCACCAAGGCUACGAUCAGUAGGGGUUCUGAGAGGAAGGUCCCCCACAUUGGAACUGAGACACGGUCCAAACUCCUACGGGAGGCAGCAGUGAGGAAUAUUGGUCAAUGGGCGGGAGCCUGAACCAGCCAAGUAGCGUGCAGGAUGACGGCCCUAUGGGUUGUAAACUGCUUUUAUGCGGGGAUAAAGUGAGGGACGUGUCCUUCAUUGCAGGUACCGCAUGAAUAAGGACCGGCUAAUUCCGUG